CUGGAGGCAAAGACUCUUCAACACAAGUCAAGUCAGCGAGCCGCGGGCUGCUACAUCGGGGGUUUGUCCAAACAUGCGUCAAAUCUAUUCAUGCAUGCAGUGGGCAUACGGAAUCAGCGGAUCACGCUUACCUGAUCUCUGCCAUGAGCCCAACUAGAUGCACUGCCAGCAGAUGGAGCUGUAAGUUGUUUCUAAAGAAAUUUAAAUCAUAAAGCCCAUAGGAGCCCUUGUGUUACUAAUGCAAGAAGCUGUUUAAUGCAAAAAAAAUAUAACAUUCAUAUUGUUCACCUCUGUCCACUGUGCUGCUGUAACAACCAAAUUUCCCCAUUGUGGGACGAAUAAAGGAAUAUAUUAUCUUA